UACGGAGGGUGCAAGCGUUAUUCGGAAUUACUGGGCGUAAAGCGCGUGCAGGCGGGUAGGCAAGUCUGAUGUGAAAGCCCCGGGCUCAACCUGGGAAGUGCAUUGGAAACUGUCUAUCUUGAGUUCUGGAGAGGAAGGGGGAAUUCCCGGUGUAGAGGUGAAAUUCGUAGAGAUCGGGAGGAAUACCAGUGGCGAAGGCGCCCUUCUGGACGGCAACUGACGCUGAGACGCGAAAGCGUGGGGAGCAAAC
rnacentral:rRNA from 1 species